CUCCCAAUAAGUGGCAGGCCUCAUAAAAAGUAAGAGAAGCCUUAUUCUUUAACGCAUCAUCCUCCAUAGGUAAAAUCCAUGGUAUAAAGGCAACACUGACAACUAAUGCACUUUUGGGCAGAGGUUUGUUAUUGAGGUUGACUAUGAUUUGUACAUAUGUUGCGCUACAGUAACCAACUCAAAAGCUGUCAGGAGAAGAGGUUGGAUUAGGGAAGAAGGAGGGGGACUGUAGUUCAUGUAUUUGAAUGUUCUUUGCUACAAUAACUUAUAACUCCUGCAAUGAAAACACAUUUAAAAUUUAACUUUUCAAAAAAGUAAGUGAACACUCUUUCCUUCCAUACAACCUUACGAAGACCUUCCAAUAAAAACGUAGCAGUUUUUUUUUUAUGGUCUUUAAUGCCAAUUUAAUAAAGGCUUUUAAACAUUAUUUUCCUACUACUUGAAAUACAUGAUACAGGCUGCAUAAGACGUUAAUUCAAACUUAUUUUAUUUUGGAACUUUUGAACAUAACAAAAAAGUCAUCAAAAACUAUGUGAGUCUAGAACAGACAUAGGGAUGUCAUAGAAAACAUGAAACAGAUCAAAGGCUCUUUAAAUGUAAACACAGC